rnacentral:rRNA from 1 species
AAGAUUAAGCCAUGCAUGUCUAAGUAUAAACAACUUUGUACUGUGAAACUGCGAAUGGCUCAUUAAAUCAGUUAUAGUUUAUUUGAUGUUACAUUGCUACAUGGAUAACUGUGGUAAUUCUAGAGCUAAUACAUGCAAUCAAGCCCCGACUUCUGGGAGGGGUGUAUUUAUUAGAUAAAAACCAACGCGGCUCGCCGCUCCCUUGGUGAUUCAUAAUAACUUUUCGAAUCGCAU